rnacentral:rRNA from 1 species
UACAGGGGGUGCAAACGUUGCUCGGAAUCAUUGGGCGUAAAGCGCACGUAGGCGGUCUGUUAUGUCGGAUGUGAAAGCCCUCGGCUCAACUGAGGAAGUGCAUCCGAAACUGGCAGGCUAGAGUACCAAAGAGGGUCGCGGAAUUCCCGGUGUAGAGGUGAAAUUCGUAGAUAUCGGGAGGAACACCGGUGGCGAAAGCGACUUCCUGGACCAGUACCGACGUCAGGCACGAA